CAGUCGCCGCGGUAAUACGUAGGGUGCGAGCGUUAAUCGGAAUUACUGGGCGUAAAUCGUGCGCAGGCGGUUAUAUAAGACAGAUGUGAAAUCCCCGGGCUCAACCUGGGACCUGCAUUUGUGACUGUAUGGCUAGAGUACGGUAGAGGGGGAUGGAAUUCCGCGUGUAGCAGUGAAAUGCGUAGAUAUGCGGAGGGACACCGAUGGCGAAGGCAAUCCCCUGGACCUAUACUGACGCUCAUGCACGAAAGCGUGGGGAGCAAACAGGAUUAGAUACCUGUAGUCCCUGUCUCUUAUACAC
rnacentral:rRNA from 1 species